GACGGAGGAUGCAAGUGUUAUCCGGAAUCACUGGGCGUAAAGCGUCUGUAGGUGGUCAAAUAAGUCAACUGUUAAAUCUUGAGGCUCAACCUCAAAAUCGCAGUCGAAACUAUUAGACUAGAGUAUAGUAGGGGUAAAGGGAAUUUCCAGUGGAGCGGUGAAAUGCGUAGAGAUUGGAAAGAACACCGAUGGCGAAGGCACUUUACUGGGCUAUUACUAACACUCAGAGACGAAAGCUAGGGGAGCAAACAGG
rnacentral:rRNA from 1 species